GCGGCAACAGCUCAAAUUUGAAAUCUGGCCUCCGACGGUGGUCCGAGUUGUAAUUUGCAGAGGGUGCUUUGGCAUCGGCAGCGGUCUAAGUUCCUUGGAACAGGACAUCACAGAGGGUGAGAAUCCCGUACGUGGUCGCCUGCCUUCGCCGUGUAAAGUCCCUUCGACGAGUCGAGUUGUUUGGGAAUGCAGCUCUAAAUGGGAGGUAAAUUUCUUCUAAAGCUAAAUACUGGCCAGAGACCGAUAGCGCACAAGUAGAGUGAUCGAAAGAUGAAAAGCACUUUGGAAAGAGAGUCAAACAGCACGUGAAAUUGUUGAAAGGGAAGCGCUUGCAGCCAGACUUGCCCGUAGUUGCUCAUCGGAACUGUUGCUCCGAGCACUCUUCUGCGGGCAGGCCAGCAUCAGUUUGGGCGACCGGAUAACGGCCUCUGUCAUGUAUCUUCCUUCGGGAUGACCUUAUAGGGGAGUCGUAGUGCGGCCAGCCCGGACUGAGGUCCGCGCAUCUGCUAGGAUGCUGGCGUAAUGGCUGUAAGCGGCCCGUCUUGAAACACGGACCAAGGAGUCUAACAUCUAUGCGAGUGUUUGGGUGUCAAGCCCGGGCGCGUAAUGAAAGUGAACGGAGGUGGGAACCCUCUCGGGGGUGCACCAUCGACCGAUCCUGAUGUCUUCGGAUGGAUUUGAGUAAGAGCAUAGCUGUUGGGACCCGAAAGAUGGUGAACUAUGCUUGAAUAGGGUGAAGCCAGAGGAAACUCUGGUGGAGGCUCGCAGCGGUUCUGACGUGCAAAUCGAUCGUCAAA
rnacentral:rRNA from 1 species